UCCAGGUUGUUCUUGCCACAUCUUAUCACCCACAAGGUACUCCUUCCCUUCCCUUUCCAAGUUGGGAGGAGAUGGGAAAGCUGUAUGCACUUUCACUGCAUCCUGCCUCUCCUGUAGUUACAGGGCACCAGGUCUCUCUGUGCCACAGCGGGCUGCAGCACACUGGCCUCACAGGAAUAGCAGAUGAAGAAGACAGAAGUUCUCUGUUGGGGGCAAGCAUGGAGGAGCCUAGUGAAUUGAGCUUUCACCUGUGAUGCCAACAUCCCAUAAUGAGCAGCCAGUUUCAGUGCCCCCUGGCUAAUUCACCUGGAAGGUGGCCCAAGUUCUUGGGCCAUUAACACCCAUGUCUGAGAUACCCAUGGAAUUACAGGCACCUGACUUCAGCCUGACCCAGCCCUAGCUGCUGCAGCCAAUUGGAGUGUGAACCAACAGAUGCAAAUUUUUUUUCUAUCUAUGACUCUAUAUAACUUGGCCUUCCCAAUAGAUAAAUAAAAUAGUUUUUUAAAAAUUC